rnacentral:rRNA from 1 species
CGAGCGGCGGACGGGUGAGUAACACGUAGGCAACCUGCCUGUAAGACUGGGAUAACUCGCGGAAACGCGAGCUAAUACCGGAUAACACUUUCUAUCACCUGAUGGAAAGUUGAAAGGCGGCUUUUGCUGUCACUUACAGAUGGGCCUGCGGCGCAUUAGCUAGUUGGUGAGGUAACGGCUCACCAAGGCGACGAUGCGUAGCCGACCUGAGAGGGUGAUCGGCCACACUGGGACUGAGACACGGCCCAGACUCCUACGGGAGGCAGCAGUAGGGAAUCUUCCGCAAUGGACGAAAGUCUGACGGAGCAACGCCGCGUGAGUGAUGAAGGUUUUCGGAUCGUAAAACUCUGUUGUCAGGGAAGAACAAGUACGAUAGUAACUGAUCGUACCUUGACGGUACCUGACCAGAAAGCCACGGCUAACUACGUGCCAGCAGCCGCGGUAAUACGUAGGUGGCAAGCGUUGUCCGGAAUUAUUGGGCGUAAAGCGCUCGCAGGCGGUUCUUUAAGUCUGAUGUGAAAUCUUGCGGCUCAACCGCAAACGUGCAUUGGAAACUGGAGGACUUGAGUGCAGAAGAGGAGAGUGGAAUUCCACGUGUAGCGGUGAAAUGCGUAGAGAUGUGGAGGAACACCAGUGGCGAAGGCGACUCUCUGGUCUGUAACUGACGCUGAGGAGCGAAAGCGUGGGGAGCGAACAGGAUUAGAUACCCUGGUAGUCCACGCCGUAAACGAUGAGUGCUAGGUGUUAGGGGGUUUCCGCCCCUUAGUGCUGAAGUUAACGCAUUAAGCACUCCGCCUGGGGAGUACGGCCGCAAGGCUGAAACUCAAAAGAAUUGACGGGGACCCGCACAAGCGGUGGAGCAUGUGGUUUAAUUCGAAGCAACGCGAAGAACCUUACCAGGUCUUGACAUCCUUUGACCGCUCUAGAGAUAGAGUUUUCCCUUCGGGACAAAGUGACAGGUGUGCAUGGUUGUCGUCAGCUCGUGUCGUGAGAAUGUUGGGUUAAGUUCG